GGGCACCAUAGCAUCUGAAUAGCAGUUGUUUUGACUGGCACGCUGAACUUUCUCUUUGAAAGAUCAUACGCUGCAUCAGCACUUUGACAACAGCUUCCAUCAAUUUGUUUAGCGAUUAGUCUUUCAUUUGGACAAAGAUAAUUUUUUAAACUUAGAGGAGGGCAGUUCCUCUGCAUUGUGGACUGCUGCAGAGGAUGUGGACCGACACAGAGGAACAAUAGCUCUAAGGAGCAGCAGCUGGUGCCCACUGACAAGGGAGCAGGACCGAAAGGCCCAGGCACAGCAGAGCUGCGGGGACCGUGCUGAGUGGGGGCCAGUCAGAAGGUGAGAACAGGCAUCCACCACGUCCAGCUCUUCCCGUGCUGACAGCUGUCAUCAUCCUCCUCUCUUCCGCGGCAUGGCCCUGCCAAGGAAUUGUGUGGAAGGCCAGCUACAUCCAGGCAAACACGGGAAAUUAUUCAAAGGAGCAGACUUUGAAGUCCCUGUGGAAGCUCUUACCACCACCUAAACUGCUGGUCUUUUUCACAGUAAAGAUGGGAAUCUCUUGGAACGAGCAAACAUCUGGAAACCAUUGCAUGGACAGGAUGAACUUUUGGAGCUGUGUUUUCACCAGUGCAGCAUCGAUUUUACUAGGAUCAAAAUAAAUAUUACUUUAGCUUGCAACUGCUAAUUAUAUCAACAUAAAAUUAAUUUAUAGUGAUAAUCACAGUCCUAAUGCUGUGCUGCUGCCAACCGUAACAACUGAUGCUUUGAGACAUCAUGUAAACCCAGCCAUUAGCAAUCAAGUAAAUGCUUCCAUUACACGUUACUGAUACUGGCUAAAGAACUUUUUAAUUGACUUCUUACAAUUUAUGGCAGCUGGUACAGACUGCACGCUCAAAUUCAGGAUUCCUUUUCAUAUUUUCUAUCUGCUGCUGUUUAGAUAGAUGCCAGUCUUACAUUACAUACUGUAACAUUACAUGCUUGAAAUUGAAAAGAUUGGGAUUGUUUAGCUUGGAAAGGAGAGGGCUCAAGAUAAAAGCUUAUGAAAGAUGAACAGUAUAGAAAAAGUGGAAUAGGAGCAUCUGUUCCUCAUCCAAUAAAAUAAAAAUAAUGAAAUAGGCA
rnacentral:lncRNA from 1 species